GAGAGAGUGAGAGUGAGUGAAGAAGAAGAAGAAGAGGAUGUGAGUGUCAAGCGAACGAGCGAACGACGACGAGUUCCCUUCAGUAGGGUUCAGACCUCCGUCGAAUAACGGUGCAUUACCGACGCCGCGCUCUCCGUCCUAUCGUCUAUUAUUUAUUUUUUUCCCACUCACAACAGCUACAACAACAACCUUCCGCUUCGCUGGAUUAUAUUACAACCAAGGAUUUUUUUUAAUUUCUAAACAAAAGAGGCGAUUUAUAUAUAUAUAUCCCCAGAGUGCUCGCUGGUUAUUAUAUGACCGAUGCCAAGUGUCGAUACAAGUGAUUCUAUAGGUGAGAGGAUAUCUUUAAUUGAAUAAAAUAAUAAAAAAGAA